rnacentral:rRNA from 1 species
GACAGAGGCCUCAAGCGUUAGGCGGAAUCACUGGGCUUAAAGCGUGUGUAGGCGGAUCGUUAAGUGUCUUGUGAAAUCCCACGGCUCACCCGUGGAACUGCUGGGCAUACUGGCGAUCUUGGGCCAACUAGGGGCAACUGGAACAAGCGGUGGAGCGGUGAAAUGCGUAGAUAUCGCUUGGAACGCCAAAGGGUGAAAACAGGUUGCUGGGGUUGU